rnacentral:lncRNA from 1 species
CUUCGCCUUCAACGCUCAUCCCCCGUGCCCAGGUAAUUUCUAUGAUGAUUUCUACUCUGUAUUUCUUCUGAUUUUACCCGCUUUCCUUUCAUCAUCCGACAUCUGUCACUUUUCACUCACGAUUUGAAUCUUCCAGAACCCUAAAUUUUACGGCACUAUAAAUAGUAGCCUUAAUUUCUCUCACCUAGAAUUGACAUAACACAACCCCUCAACACACAGUCGAAUAUCAUCUGAAACACAAAAAAAAAGAAAGAAAAGUAAUAUCUCAAGGUUUUCCUCAUUCUUUACUGCUUUUCUUUUCUAGUUCUGAUUUUGAUUCCUAAACAUCUAAACAAAAACCUUUGCUCGGUUUGCUGCUUCGUAGAAGGUCAGUAUAAACUAACCCUCUCUUUCUUUGAUUGAUUGAGUUGUUUUCAUGUUUACCAUGCUUUCUUCUGUUUAAUCAUCUUUUGUUUAUGAUGUAUGUUAUUGAUUUAGAACUGAUUAUUAUGUCUUGAUAUUAUAUGUUAUAGCCAAUUAUUUUCCUGAUAAUCCAUAACUAUUCUACUGUGAACUUAAUGAACUUCACAAGAUAAAUACCAUAGAUAAUUCAAGUCUUGCUGAACUUCUGUAGUUAGCUAAGAGACUGAUGAUUCUAGGUAUGUUUUCAUCAGUUGUACUACCAUGUUUCUUAGCCUAACUCAAGCUGUGUCCUUAACUUCACCUUAAUGUCCUGUUAAGGAUUCGUGUCUACUACAUCUCUGCUAUAUUAGUUCUUGGGUUAUCAAUGCUAUAUCAUUCGUUAAUAUAUCUAAAACUGAUCAUUAUCAUGAUACCCAUGUUAUACAUAUUUGACUUCUUUGCUUUGACUGAUUAAUCUGCUACUGAAACUAUGUCUACCCUAUACACGUAAAACUCACAUGUUCUUGUGAUUUGAACUUCGGUAAUGAAUCCAUUAGCUUGGUUAUUAGACUAUCUGCUCGUGUGAUAUGUUUUGUAAUCUGUUAGCCUUUUAGAAACAUCACUAUAUAUAUGUUUUGAGUAUUUUCUGUUUGCUUCUGCACUUGUGUGUUUUGUUCAUAAACUUGCGGUUUGAUUUUUUCAUCUAACAUAGGCUCAUGCUUAAGGUAUUAUACUCUUCACUUAAACUAUGCUAUCCUAUAGAAGAAGAGGUCGACCCUUGCCUAUUCUGAUAACUUAACAACAUAUAAUCUGGAAUAUAAGUCAACUGUUGUCACUUAUGGACCUAAGGAAGCUCGUUGAUCCUUGUUUGUCUUGUUUAAACUUUAAAGGAAUGUUGCUCUCUAUAUAUAGUUGAUAUCCCUGGCUAUAAAGACUUAACUGUGUAUCUGGACUUUGUUUGUGAACUUGAUGGGCUAGAGGCCGUUUUGUUAGGAUGAAAACUGAAUCUGUAGAGAUGCUUCUGUUGUUUGUUAUCACUUCUAGGGAAUCUGAUCAAGAAUGUUAACAUAAGAAUUCAAUAUAGUAAGGAUUCUACAUGUGAUAUUGAAUACAAUCCAAAUAGUUGUAAAGUGCUAUGAACUUGAUUGACGAUUCCAAUAAGUUUAAUCCUACCAGUAUAACCAAUGAAGUCAGUAUGCACGUCUUCCCUAUCUUUCGGAUCAACAAAACUCAGCAUAUUAAACUUGGGGUAGUCUACUGUUGGUUGCUCCGAAAAUCUCCCUGUUCUGCACCUAUGAUUUAUUUCUUUAAAUGUUUCAAUACAUGUUAUAAAUGAAUGCUGAACACUCCCUGAACAUUGUCAGUAUAUGUAGUACUUGACUUUUAUAUUAUGAGUUUUGAUUCUACGGAUAAAAUGGUGUAAUUCCCUAAGUGUUUAUGCCCCUAUAGUUUGAUUCCAUCUUCUGCAACCUCUAAGCUUCGUGUAUACUUGAACUUUUAUGCCCAUUCCCACUCUCAUGUGAAAACCUUAUUUGUAACAAAACCUGCGGGGAAGAGUAAGUGUGAGCCAUUAAGGAUAUUUGGGGUAGGACCUAAUUUAAGGUUGAGGCGCCCUUUCACACAAACACUACUCGGGGUCCUUAAGACCCCUUUGAACUUUAAAAUGCAAGGGAUUCCAAGAGCACUUUGUCCGUGAAAAGGUUCUUAUCCUAAGCUCUUGGUAAUUGAAUCUCACUAAUCACUUUAUGAUUAAUUACAAAUAAAAGUUGGUUUUCACUUUAAUCAUGUCCAUUCGUUAAAAUUUAUUAUGUUGGCCCUUAUGAUAGUUUAUUCCAAUCUUAUUAGUAAUAUUUAUAUGUUUCAGUUUUACUUUGUUCGGACUCAUGUGGAUUUCACUAAUUAUAAGUGAGAAUGACACAGUUACCCAUAAAAAAAGUUAUUCGCCCUUGUUUAUCCAUUUAUUUUUCUGUCCAUAAACUAAUUAUAUUUUCUAUCCAUAAUAGUUUUUGUGGGGAAUUUUUUCUUAUUUUC